rnacentral:rRNA from 1 species
CACUCCUACGGGAGGCAGCAGUGGGGAAUAUUGGACAAUGGGCGCAAGCCUGAUCCAGCCAUGCCGCGUGAGUGAUGAAGGCCCUAGGGUUGUAAAGCUCUUUCACCGGUGAAGAUAAUGACGGUAACCGGAGAAGAAGCCCCGGCUAACUUCGUGCCAGCAGCCGCGGUAAUACGAAGGGGGCUAGCGUUGUUCGGAUUUACUGGGCGUAAAGCGCACGUAGGCGGACUAUUAAGUCAGGGGUGAAAUUCCGGGGCUCAACCCCGGAACUGCCUUUGAUACUGGGAGUCUUGAGUUCGAGAGAGGUGAGUGGAAUUCCGAGUGUAGAGGUGAAAUUCGUAGAUAUUCGGAGGAACACCAGUGGCGAAGGCGGCUCACUGGCUCGAUACUGACGCUGAGGUGCGAAAGCGUGGGGGGCAAACGGGAUUAGAAACCCGGGUAGUCC